ACUACCCUCACCUUCCUGCCAACCACACAGUUAACAGAAGCUCAGCAUCUCAAAGUUACCUGGGGCUGGAUGAGACUCCAGCCCCCUGGAGGCCUGACCUGUGGCUUGGGAAGCGGCACCAGUCCCAGUGCCCAGGCAGACUGGCAUGGAGCAUGGGUGUGCUCUGAUGACAAGUUUUUAAACCACCUAUUUAUCAAAGUCUGAGGUUAGAAUUAUUAUCAUUGGACAUGUUUACCAUCAGAAAGGAGAGGCUGAUCAGAUAAGAAGCCCCACUUGACAGCAAUCUGCUUUCACCGCAUCACAAAACUUGGGGACUGGAUAGAACUGAAGACUCCAUCUUGCCAAUCCCCUUACUUAGUGGGAAGGCUGAAUGACUUGUCCAGCUGCUCUCGGCCAAGCCAGAGGAGAGAAUUUUUAAAUAUACAUCAAAUGUAAGAGCUAAAGUGCUUAGUCGCUCAUUCAUGUCAGACUCUUUGCGACUCCAUGGACUGCAGCAUGCCAGGCUCCUAUGUCCAUGGGAUUUUCCAGGCAAGAAUACUGCAGUGGGUUGUCACUGCCUACUCCAGGGAUCCCUCACAUCCUCCCACCCUUGUUGGAAGCAAGGGCUUGUCUGUGAACCUUGUCCACAAGGCUGUUUUGUGUGCAGGAACAGCCAGCUCCAGCCUCAUUCUGGACCAUAGGAGGGGCCUCCCAGGAGGCGCAGGGGUGGCAGCACCUCUGACAGCAGAGGCAGGCAGCCCACCUACGGGACCCAGCUUGGACAUCUCCACCCAUGAACCGAACCCCCAGUCCAGUGAGUGUUCUGAGAGCCUGUUUUCACUCAGAAAAACAGAAAUGUAAUGGAAUUUUUAAACUGUCUAGAAGACAAUUUUAAACUAAGAAAACGGAACUGACUCUGCUUGGCCGAGGCCAAAGUACACAGAAGUUGGUGUGAAGUCACUUCUGCGGUGGGAACUCAGUGAGACACGCUCGGUGGCUUCCCAGAGGAGGCCUUUGCCAGCACAUCUGGGCUGCAGACACAGCUCUCUGCUUAAGUGAUAGGUGUGCGGGCGUGCUGGACACCACUGUGGUCUAGACACCGUGUCUAGAGGCACAACAGGGGCCUCUGCAGGGACGCUUAGACCUGGAGAGGGCAAGGCCGGGGAGCAGAUGUUCAGAAGACAGAGAGAAGUCUUCACGCAGCGUCCCUCCCCACUUGUCUACUGACUCAAGACAGCGGCGUGCUAGAUCUCAGCUUUCCUUUCAGACCCAAACAACGCGGCCUUUGCCACUGGCCUGAAAUUUUCUCUUCCCGCCAAAAUGCUUGUUCCCGAUGCAGCAGCAGCAGCAGCAGCAGGUCUGUGGAAAGCCUGCCAUCUGACCUGCUCACAGGUCCCUCCCCAUCUCGAGUCCCAUCUGGUGUCUGGUGCGCACAAAGGCCCCCGGCCGCCCCGCCCAGGCCUUUCUGCAGCCGCCACCGGGCGUCAGGUCCCUGGGGCCCGCUCCGCGCGAGGGUCUGGUCCCCGGGCGCCCCUCGGCCCGAAGACCAACAGGUGAUGUCAGCGGGUGUCCGAACUCUGGGACUCACCAGGCGCCGGCACUCAUGAUUCACACGUGCACGCGCCUCUGACUCAGCAGUUUCCAGCGGCCUGGACUGCAAUUCACAAGGAAGGACCCGGGCCCAGACUGCUAAGGAGCCGCAGCACCACCUUUCUGCACAACAGCAGAGAACUGGAAACAACUCCAGAUUACCUCGAUCAUGGAAAUAGCCAUA
ensembl:lncRNA